AGCGAACGCUGGCGGCAGGCCUAACACACGCAAGUCGAGCGCGUGUCGCAAGACACGAGCGGCAGACGGGAGAGUAACACGUGGGAACGUACCCUUUGGUUCGGAACAACCCAGGGAAACUUGGGCUAAUACCGAAUAAGCCCUUACGGGGAAGAUUUAUCGCCGAAGGAUCGGCCCGCGUCUGAUUAGCUAGUUGGUGGGGU
rnacentral:rRNA from 1 species